CCUACGGAGGGCUGCAGUGAGGAAUAUUGGUCAAUGGGCGGGAGCCUGAACCAGCCAAGCCGCGUGAGGGAAGAAGGUACAGCGUAUCGUAAACCUCUUUUGUCAGGGAACAAAGGCGGGGACUAGUCCCCGGAUGAGGGUACCUGAAGAAAAAGCAUCGGCUAACUCCGUGCCAGCAGCCGCGGUAAUACGGAGGAUGCGAGCGUUAUCCGGAUUUAUUGGGUUUAAAGGGUGCGCAGGCGGCCCGUUAAGUCAGCGGUAAAAGCCCGGGGCUCAACCCCGGCGAGACGUUGACACUGGCGGGCUGGAGUUGGAGAGAAGUACGCGGAAUGAGCGGAGUAGAGGUGGAAUGAUUAGAUAUCGCGCAGAACCGCGAUUGCGAAGGCAGCGUACCGGCUCCACACUGACGCUGAGGCACGAAAGCGUGGGUAUCGAACAGGAGUAGAUACCCUUGUAGUC
rnacentral:rRNA from 1 species